AUAUAUGUGUAUGUAUAUAUAUAUAUAUAUAUAUAUGUGUAUGUAUAUAUAUAUAUGUGUAUGUAUAUAUAUAUAUAUAUAUGUAUAUAUAGAUAUAUGUAUAUAUUGAUGUAUACGUGUAUAUGUGUAUAUUUAUGUUUAUAUGUGUGUAUGUAUGUAUGUGUAUAUAUGUAUAUGUGUAUACGUAUAUAUGUACACACUUUCAGAAUUGCCAAAUGACAGUAUAACCAAGGAAUACAAAGCCUAUAGUUUAUGCAAGUUUAUCAGUAAAGCCGAUUUCUAGUUGGCCAAUGGUAGUUUAUAUAGAACAGUUGGACUCUUUCGCUCUAUUUCUUUGUCAAGGUCCAAGGGAUACAAUGCGAUGUGUUUUGAUGAGUUUAGUUUUUUGUUUAAUGACUGCUUAAAUGAUAUAAUUAAAAAAAACAAUGUGUUCACUCAGACUUUUUCAUAAAUCAAACGCAGCCAUCGACAUCAACCGCUUGCCAGACAGAUCUCCACGUACCCACCCAAUGUGACCUUUAUUUAAUAUAUUAAUGAUUCGAAUGCAGGUCUUCUUUUGUGCCUUAAUUUAUUUUUGAGGCACUUAUAACUAAUAUUGAAGAAUUGUAUAUCUUUAAUUCAAUUACAGCAUAGUCUUUAUAUACUUAAGUCAUAUCAUAUAUUUAAUAGAGUUUCUAAUAUCGUUUUCAUACAAUUCGAUUUUGUGUGCACCUAGAAAAUGCCUUCCGAAAGUAUGCAGUAUGUUCUGACCGCCAGAACUAAGUCCUCAGUAUCUAUAUCAUGUAGUGUUUUCUCCCUUUUCUUACAGCUGUAUGCAUGUUUGCCAAUCUGAAUAGUCUUUCACCUAUUUUCUUGAGAGAACAGAACACCAUAAAGGACAAACAGGUCUGUGUCCACUAGAGGACAGCAAAAUUCUGUGAAAGUGCUCCUCUGUAUUCAUUUAUUCUCUGCCCUCAUACAGGAACUGCAGGGUUGUUUAAUUUUUCGCUGUCUUUCUUCAGGAAAUCUCCUGUCAAUAUGUAGGCACCAGAUUACAGUGCAAAGUUCAAACCUCAUGUAAUGAGAUCCCCCUAUAUGCUGUUUGGUAUGGACGUUGUUUCAGAGUCCUUCUGCACUGAGAGAGUUUGGAGAGCCGACGAUGCUUGUAUGACCUCUGGCAGGUAACACAUUUUUACCGUUAAGUGCUUUACCUGUCCCUCUAAAACUGCCAAGCGUUGCACAGAGGAGCUAAAUGGAGAGAACAUCCAAUUUUGGCAUAUUGGACCUAUUUACCACUAGAGGGAGCUAGAGUCAUUCUAGUGUCCCAUGUAAUUUACGAGGUUUUCAGGAUUGUCUGGCAUAUGUCUCUUCCUCUUUCUUUAUGUCUUUGCGUGGUGGGUAGUGUGUUCUGCUUUAAUAUCUACAUUACAACUCAGCUAAGAUUAUAUCUACUCAAUUUAUUGGUCGUUAUCCAGUUAGAGAGAGUGUAGAAACAGGCUACAAUAACCCUGCCCUACCCCUUGAGGCAUCAAUUUUCGUAGUUGAUAAUGAUUAUAUUCGCUUAUUUCUGUACUUAUUCAUCUAGUUAUGUACAAUAAACAUAAUCACAAUGAAAAAGGUUGAUAUCUAUUGAUAUAUUUCCUCCAGCAGUUAUCAUUUUCAGUGUUUUAUCUUAACAUUAAAUGCACAAUUCUAACUACUCCAUCUCCCAGAAUCCUUCAGACCCAAAUCACAUACUACCUCUGUUGGUUCCCAACUCAAAUUGACAGUUUUUAUUUGGUAACGAGAAAUGUAACAGGAGUAAGAAACGAUCUCAACCUAAUUUUCCCAUUCAUUAUUUGAUGGUCACCCGUGUUGGCCCAUAAGGCUCUUUCAUGUGACCACUCAGAUGUCGUUUAGAGAAGAAAACACAGUCACCUCGGCCGGCCUAUGGAGGUCUACGGGGCCCACUAUACCGGCCAAUGUAUCCCAUCAUCCAGCCUGGCAACCAGACAAAUCUGCUAGCUUAGCCCCACUCCCCAGAGCUUUAGCACAAAAGUAUGCGUCUGAUACAAAAGCAUACAAAAUGAUACAUUAACAAAUAAUUGGUAAUUGGUAAUAAAUAAUAAUUCAAAACAAUUGUCCACAUGGAUCUGUACUGGUUAUUAGGGUAGUCACCUAUAGUUAUUUCCAUGUUUACUUAUAGGCCUUCUUUCAGUAAGUUUUACAAAUUAUUGCUUUGAAUGAAUAGUUGCCACUGUAUGAGCUCACCUUGUCUCACAUCCCCAGCAACAUCAGUCAUCAAACUAAGAGCCAUGUGUUUUAUGAUAUUAAACCUUUGGUGCAAAACAAAGAAAAACCUUUCUUCCAAGGCUUUUUCCGAGAGACACCCCCCAUUGUGGCCCUGGGUUCCCAGUCCCAAUUUUCCCAACACACCCCUGCCCCACCCGUUCGGACUGACUCCAGCAGACCUGGCCCAGCUCAGGCCAAUCACAACCAUUUAUCUCAUAUGGGGCGGGGUUAAUGACUGUACAGAGGAGUGUCCAUGGGAGCCAUGUCGAUGCAUUUUCAUAAGUAACCUAGACGGCUGCUGCCGAUGUGACCCUAUUUUCAUUGCUCUGAUUGGUUCUAAUUGUGUCCAAAGUAAAUUUUGUUGUGUAUUUUGAUAACACCCCUUGGAUUUUCAAAAUGGACAAGAGUUUCCAGACUUGGUCGCAUCUGUCCAUUGGUCUGGCGCUGUCAGGCUACCCUUCAUCGGCUGUUUACCAAAUAAAGGAAGGAUGAAGUGUUACCCAAAGCAAAGGUGACUUUGUUUAUCAUGCUGCUACUUUCCUCUUCUAUGGUGUAAGCCAUGGGUCUUCAAUUAAAAUUGAACAAGGUCCAGUUACUAAAAAUUCCUUCCAAGAAAGGUCCG
ensembl:lncRNA